rnacentral:rRNA from 1 species
GUAAAGCACUUUCAGUAGGGAGGAAGGUAGUGUAGUUAACACCUGCAUUAUUUGACGUUACCUACAGAAGAAGCACCGGCUAACUCCGUGCCAGCAGCCGCGGUAAUACGGAGGGUGCGAGCGUUAAUCGGAAUUACUGGGCGUAAAGCGCAUGCAGGCGGCCUGUUAAGUCAGAUGUGAAAGCCCGGGGCGUUAACCUCGGAAUUGCAUUUAGAAACUGGCAGGCUAGAGUCUUGUAGAGGGGGGUAGGAAUUUCAGGUGUAGCGGUGAAAUGCGUAGAGAUCUGAAGGAAUACCAGUGGCGAAGGCGGCCCCCUGGACAAAGACUGACGCUCAGAUGCGAAAGCGUGGGGAGCAAACAGGAUUAGAUACCCUGGUAG